AUUAUGACAAGAGAAAUAGAAUUAGGGAAACGAUGAUGAAUGAAGUGCGAAGAUUCUAGACGGUAGAGGCUUCAUAUCUUGAGUCACAAAGCUAUAGGAAUGGUAACCCCUCAGUCAUUGAGUCACGGUGGCCUUUGGAAUCCAUCCUCGCUUUCCAGGUUCUAUUUCUUACUGUCGGCUCAAGCUUGGAAAGGGUACAGAGGGAAAUGAAAGCAUGAAGUGAAGAUAGAAAUUAAGGUCAGGAACAACAACAUCAGGAUCUACCAUUAUAUCCAGGUCAUAAAGGAAGGUGAGUCAGGAAGGAGAUUAUAGGAAUGGAUUAACAGGGAAACAAAAGGCUGUAGGUAAAAGCACCAUGAAGAGAGGAUUUUGACUGGAGAUUUAAUGUCUGGAACGGAGCCUUCAAGAUCAUGAACGGUUUAUUUCCUUUGUCUUUGGCAUGGUUCGUUUCGCAUUCCAUCAUGAGAGAUUCUUUGUCUUCUUUGCGCUAGUCUUAAUGGUAAAUCCUGGUGAUCUUGGUUGUUCAUCCUGGUCAUUCAGUCACUG